CUGGCACUUCCUGUCCUGAACGAGAAGCACGGCUGCAGUAAAGAACAUUCCUACAGUCUUCUAGAUGUUUCUGUUAUUUUCCUUCUUUUUAUUAGUUCAGUUUGUUGAAUGAAAAAAAUAUCCGCUUCGUAAGUAAGUCUCUAAUGUAUUUAUUUAGUCUUUAAAUGAGCGUUGUUUGUUCACUGGCAUAAUAACAGCAGGCGUAUGCCUAAUUGUAGACUUAAGGCAUGUUUUGUAUGAGAUGAUUCACAGAGAGUGAAAUGGGACUGUAGGUACUAGUAGAAGAACCACAAGCCAAUUUCAACGCUAGCUAAUACUUGCAGUACAACCACAAGGUUACACUGUCUCAUUCGACGUCCCCACACAGUACACGCAUGUGCACUCACACAAACAUAUGCUGAACAAACACACUGAACCCCCCCCACACACACACAUGUCCGCAUCACCUUCCAUGCUUAUGUGCACCUAUGGAAUGUAACAACCGUACAUUGACUAUAGCUCAGCCUUCAACUCAAUAGUAACCCUCCAAGCGCAUCAUUAAGCUCCGGGCCCUGGGUCCGGACCCCACCCUGUACCACUGGGUCCUGGUCUUCCUGACGGGCCGAACCCCAGGGGGUCAAGGGUCAGAAACAACACCUCUACUUAGCUAAUCCUCAAUAUGGGCCCCACAAGGAUGUGUGCUCAGCCCCUCCUGUGCUCCCUCUUCACCCAUGACUGCGUGGCCACGCACGCCUCCAACUCAAUCAUCAAGUUUUCAGACGACACAACAGUAGUAGGCAUGAUUACCAACAAUGACAAGACGGCCUACAGGGAGGAGGUGAGGGCCCUGGCGGAGAGGUGCCAGGGAAAUAACCUCUCCCUCAACGUCAACAAAAUGAAGGAGCUGAUCGUGGACUUCAGGAAACAGCAGAGUGAGCACGCCCCUAUCCACAUCGACGGGACCGCAGUGGAGAAGGACCUGAGCCCUAGGACCAUGCCCCAGGACUACCUGACAUGGUGACUCCUUGCUGUCCCCAGUCCAUCUGACCGUGCUGCUGCUCCAGUUUCAACUGUUCUGCCUUAUUAUUAUACGACCAUGCUGGUCAUUUAUGGACAUUUGAACAUCUUGGCCAUGUUCUGUUAUAAUCUCCACCCGGCACAGCCAGAAGAGGACUGGCCACCCCACAUAGCCUGGUUCCUCUCUAGGUUU
ensembl:lncRNA